rnacentral:tRNA from 1 species
AGUGUAGCGCAGUCUGGUAGCGCAUCUGGUUUGGGACCAGGUGGUCGGGGGUUCGAAUCCCUCCACU